GUGCCAGCCGCCGCGGUAAUACGGAAGGGGCAAGCGUUGUUCGGAAUUAUUGGGCGUAAAGGGCGCGUAGGUGGUCUUGUAUGUCUACCGUGAAAGCACACGGCUUAACCGUGUAGAGUCGGUGGAAACUGCAGGACUUGAGGUUGGGAGGGGCUGGUGGAAUUCCCUGUGUAGCGGUGAAAUGCGUAGAGAUGGGGGAGAACACUUGUGGCGAAGGCGGCCAGCUGGACCAAUUCUGACACUGAGGCGCGACAGCGUGGGGAGCAAACAGGAUUAGAAACCCCCGUAGUCC
rnacentral:rRNA from 1 species